CUGAGCUCUGCGGACUCCUUCAGUCCUUUUGGCAGCAGGACCCAGGUCAGUGAUACAACUAUGCUGAACAAUUGCUACUGCACAAUUGAAUAUCCUGCUCUAUACUUCCUGCAUCAUCUGUGGUCAUUCACACUUGUCACUUCCUUUAGUUCCUUUUCUUUAUUCUUCAAUAUCUAUGAACCUGCUGUGGUUGGGGGAGAGGAGGCUGCACAGAGACAAGACUGACAUCACAAGAGCCCUCGAAGCCUUCUUGGAAUCAUAUGGAAUCCUUAGGUGGUGAUUUGGAAAGUACUGCUAGAAGCAUCUCUCAUCACUUCUAAAAGGAGAGUGCUGAAGCCAGGAAACUGCUCCCUCAGUGAGAAUUAGAGGAAGAAACCACUUGAAUCACAUAUGAAACAUUCAGCCCAAUCAAAGCAACCUUCAAGAGCUGAAAAGUAACCACAGCUUUGAGAGUCCAUGUAAGUCAAUGGAGAAAAUAUUAAAGAGCUAAUGACCUUCUCUUGUUCCUUGGUUUCUUUGAGAAAGGACCUGAGGGUCACCACCAAGCAAUGAAGGAGGUGAGGACUAGUAUGUUUCUGGUAUAUUCCUGGGAACUGUGGAGAAAUGAAACAUGAAAGACAGGACAAAGUCCCUUCUCUCAAAGGGCUUUAUUCUAGAGCACACAGGAUAACAAUUGCAUGAAGCCAAGGACAGACGUCUCCCUACAUUCAUCAGGUGGUUAGCUCCUGAACUGAACCAAAUACCAAAGUCUCUGAUUAGAGGUAACUGGUUUCCUUCCUGACACUGAAAAUGUCAAAAGAUUCUUUGAAGUUUCUUGCUGGAACUUAUUUUUAAAUAUCCUCAGUCUUUUGUUCUAUAUUCAUAAGCAAAUUGAUUUCUUCACUCCUGAUUCUAUCUUACCAAUUUUUAAAUUAUUUAUAGUUACCUGUUACAAUUAACAAGAAAAUUGCACCUGAUCUAGUCAUAAUUUUACGGAAAACUUUGUUUCAUCAUUCUAUGAUCUUCUAACUAAAUUGCAAAAUUUAAAUUGGUCAUAAAAUGUUUUUUUAUCUUGAAGAAGUUUAGAAAGAAGAAGCAUGUAUGAAGAAGCUACUGAUACUUUAUCUUUUCUUUUCAGAUAGAGUGAUCAUGUAUAUACAAUUUUUAUCCUGUGCAACUCCAACGAUAAAAUUCCUAGGUUUGAUAGGGAUUUGGGAAGAAAUAGUGGAUAAGACUUACAGUCAUUUGGGAUUUAAUUAAGUCACAUUUUCAACAGGUGUUCUAAAUAAAUACAAUAACAGUAAUAAAUAUUAUUAGCAUGCAAGAUAGUGCCUGACUAGAGGUGGUAAACAUUAGAUAGGGUUUGAAUAAAGGACUAUAAGCUCAGUAUCACAGAACUUUAGAUAGGAAAGUUACCUAAAAAAUGUUCUAGUCCAAUUCCUGAGUUUUACAAGUGAGAAAAUUCAGUUUCAGGGGAAGAAACUGUUUCAGGUUAAACGGUCUGUUAGUGGCAUAGUUGAGGCAACAUUCUAUGUCUUCUACUUCUGAUUCACUACCUUUAGCCUCUGUUUUUUCUAAAUGUACCAACUGAAAAACAAAAGUGACUACAUGUAUUGAACUAUCCAUAUAAUUAUUAAUUUAAAUAGUACAAGUUAAACCUUGAUCUACACAGUUAUACCUGAACAUAUUUUGAAUAGUGCUGUGAAUUUUGUAGAUCAUGUUCAAUUAUUUAUCACUUACUCAAAACUUGUUUCUGUUGUACAAGCCAAGUUAUGACAAUAUAGAAAGUAGAAAAAGAAAUGAAGAACAUCCACAAUUUCUACCAUUACAGUACACACUAUGCAGUUUUUACUCCUAGUACUUAUUCAUGCUUACAUAUUUUCUGAAGUUGUAAUGAUGAGGUAAUAUGAUCUUUGUUAUGUUUUAUUUAAUUAACAUUAUAUCAUGACAUUUUCAUGUUAUUACAUAAUGUUCAUAAUGACUACUUUAGCAACUGCAUAGUAUUUCAUUGACUUGCUUUGAUAUUUAUUCAGCCAUUUCCCUCUUGUUGAACAAUUAAGUCACCUCCAAUGUAACUAUUAAUAACACUGCAGUGAAUUUCUUCAUUCACAUUGCUUGUGUAUGUUGUUUUUCUUUAAAUUAUUUUUCUGUGGGUAAAUUAUAAACUAUUGAAUUUUAACUGGAUA